AUGGCUCAGAUUGAACGCUGGCGGCAGGCCUAACACAUGCAAGUCGAGCGGAAACGAGUUAACUGAACCUUCGGGGAACGUUAAUGGCGUCGAGCGGCGGACGGGUGAGUAAUGCCUAGGAAAUUGCCCUGAUGUGGGGGAUAACCAUUGGAAACGAUGGCUAAUACCGCAUGAUGCCUACGGGCCAAAGAGGGGGACCUUCGGGCCUCUCGCGUCAGGAUAUGCCUAGGUGGGAUUAGCUAGUUGGUGAGGUAAGGGCUCACCAAGGCGACGAUCCCUAGCUGGUCUGAGAGGAUGAUCAGCCACACUGGAACUGAGACACGGUCCAGACUCCUACGGGAGGCAGCAGUGGGGAAUAUUGCACAAUGGGCGCAAGCCUGAUGCAGCCAUGCCGCGUGUGUGAAGAAGGCCUUCGGGUUGUAAAGCACUUUCAGUCGUGAGGAAGGUAGUGUAGUUAAUAGCUGCAUUAUUUGACGUUAGCGACAGAAGAAGCACCGGCUAACUCCGUGCCAGCAGCCGCGGUAAUACGGAGGGUGCGAGCGUUAAUCGGAAUUACUGGGCGUAAAGCGCAUGCAGGUGGUUUGUUAAGUCAGAUGUGAAAGCCCGGGGCUCAACCUCGGAAUAGCAUUUGAAACUGGCAGACUAGAGUACUGUAGAGGGGGGUAGAAUUUCAGGUGUAGCGGUGAAAUGCGUAGAGAUCUGAAGGAAUACCGGUGGCGAAGGCGGCCCCCUGGACAGAUACUGACACUCAGAUGCGAAAGCGUGGGGAGCAAACAGGAUUAGAUACCCUGGUAGUCCACGCCGUAAACGAUGUCUACUUGGAGGUUGUGGCCUUGAGCCGUGGCUUUCGGAGCUAACGCGUUAAGUAGACCGCCUGGGGAGUACGGUCGCAAGAUUAAAACUCAAAUGAAUUGACGGGGGCCCGCACAAGCGGUGGAGCAUGUGGUUUAAUUCGAUGCAACGCGAAGAACCUUACCUACUCUUGACAUCCAGAGAACUUUCCAGAGAUGGAUUGGUGCCUUCGGGAACUCUGAGACAGGUGCUGCAUGGCUGUCGUCAGCUCGUGUUGUGAAAUGUUGGGUUAAGUCCCGCAACGAGCGCAACCCUUAUCCUUGUUUGCCAGCGAGUAAUGUCGGGAACUCCAGGGAGACUGCCGGUGAUAAACCGGAGGAAGGUGGGGACGACGUCAAGUCAUCAUGGCCCUUACGAGUAGGGCUACACACGUGCUACAAUGGCGCAUACAGAGGGCGGCCAACUUGCGAAAGUGAGCGAAUCCCAAAAAGUGCGUCGUAGUCCGGAUUGGAGUCUGCAACUCGACUCCAUGAAGUCGGAAUCGCUAGUAAUCGUGGAUCAGAAUGCCACGGUGAAUACGUUCCCGGGCCUUGUACACACCGCCCGUCACACCAUGGGAGUGGGCUGCAAAAGAAGUAGGUAG
rnacentral:rRNA from 1 species